UCAAUCAAGUGUCAGUGUUACAGGAGGCAAAACUAAGUCAGACAAGCCCUCUACAUUUGUUUCAUCGAGUACGACCAUUACAAAAUUAACCACUCCAAUUGUUUCGAGCGUGACUGUUCAAACGUCGACGUUGAAAACUAUUGAUGCGGCGAGAAAAAACACUUCAUCUACCACCACAAUUGUUGCUGCCCCAACAAAAGCUUCAAGUGCUACAAUCAUGAUACGAAAAACUUCAAAUUUUGAAAUGACCACUGAAGGUACUGCAGUAACUGCACCCACAUCAUCUCAGACAAGCAAAGACACAUUUGCCAAAAAAGGUGUGAAAGGGGAAAACAAGCGUUAUAUUAUUUAUGUUGGAAUCAUCAUAGCACUGACAAUGUUCGUAGCAAUUCUGCUGAUGGUCAUUACAUACUAUUUUUAUCGAAACCGAACAUUGAAACUCUCUAUUGCCAGGAAGGCAAAUAUUAGCAAAGGCAUCGAGGAAC